rnacentral:rRNA from 2 species
UCGGGUGCUAUAAUGCAAGUCGAGCGAACAGAUGAGAAGCUUGCUUCUCUGAUGUUAGCGGCGGACGGGUGAGUAACACGUGGGUAACCUACCUAUAAGACUGGGAUAACUCCGGGAAACCGGGGCUAAUACCGGAUAAUAUAUUGAACCGCAUGGUUCAAUGUUGAAAGACGGUUUCGGCUGUCACUUAUAGAUGGACCCGCGCCGUAUUAGCUAGUUGGUAAGGUAACGGCUUACCAAGGCAACGAUACGUAGCCGACCUGAGAGGGUGAUCGGCCACACUGGAACUGAGACACGGUCCAGACUCCUACGGGAGGCAGCAGUAGGGAAUCUUCCGCAAUGGGCGAAAGCCUGACGGAGCAACGCCGCGUGAGUGAUGAAGGUCUUAGGAUCGUAAAACUCUGUUGUUAGGGAAGAACAAAUUUGUUAGUAACUGAACAAGUCUUGACGGUACCUAACCAGAAAGCCACGGCUAACUACGUGCCAGCAGCCGCGGUAAUACGUAGGUGGCAAGCGUUAUCCGGAAUUAUUGGGCGUAAAGCGCGCGUAGGCGGUUUCUUAAGUCUGAUGUGAAAGCCCACGGCUCAACCGUGGAGGGUCAUUGGAAACUGGGGAACUUGAGUGCAGAAGAGGAGAGUGGAAUUCCAUGUGUAGCGGUGAAAUGCGCAGAGAUAUGGAGGAACACCAGUGGCGAAGGCGGCUCUCUGGUCUGUAACUGACGCUGAUGUGCGAAAGCGUGGGGAUCAAACAGGAUUAGAUACCCUGGUAGUCCACGCCGUAAACGAUGAGUGCUAAGUGUUAGGGGGUUUCCGCCCCUUAGUGCUGCAGCUAACGCAUUAAGCACUCCGCCUGGGGGAGU